rnacentral:lncRNA from 1 species
AAACAUAAGAUUUUGUGGUAUCCACUAGUGUAAAUAUUUUAAAUUGAAGAUCGAAUUAAAUCAUUGUAUUCAUAUAAGGUCAAGGAGUGUAGUUGUAAAAAAACAUCAAAAUCGGAGUUAAAUUAACCGUUAAAUCGUGAUUUUUUGUUUAUAACCGUCGAAAAGUUUUGUCCCGUUACGUGCUCUCUGAAUGUUUGUUUUUUGCAAUUUUUGGCGUAUGCGAUCUCGAAAUAUAUACAAACAUGUUUGACGGUUAGAUCAUUGAAACUAGUUUCAUAGAAUGAGUAUUCCAUCAAAACAAUAGAUUAACUAAUACUUAAGAGUUUAUUCAUACUUUUAUUAAGUAUGACAUAAGAUUUUGUGGCUUCCACUAGUGUAAAUAUUUUAAAUUGAAGAUCGAAUUCAAUCAUUGUAUUCAUAUAGGGUCAAGGAGUGUAGUUGUAAAAAAUCAUCAAAAUCGGAGUUAAAAUGACCGUUAAAUCGUGAUUUUUCGUUUAUAACCGUCGAAAAGUUUUGUCCCGUUACUUGAUCUCUGAAUGUUUUUUUUUUGCAAUUUUUGGCGUAUGCAAUCUCGAAGUAUAUAUAAACAUGUUUGACGGUUGGAUCAUUGAAACUAGUUUUGUAGAAUGAGUAUCCCAUCAAAACAAUAGAUUCACUAAUACUUAAUAGUUUAUUCAUACUUUUAUUAAGUAUAAUAUAAGAUUUUGUGGUAUCCAGUAGUGUAAAUAUUUUAAAUUGAAGAUCGAAUUCAAUCAUUGUAUUCAUAUAGGGUCAAGGAGUGUGGUUGUAAAAAAACAUCAAAAUCGGAGUUAAAAUGACCGUUAAAUCGUGAUUUUUCGUUUAUAACCGUCGAAAGGUUUUGUCCCGUUACUUGAUCUCUGAAUGUUUGUUUUUUGUAAUUUUUGACGUAUACGAUCUCGAAGUAUAUACAAACAUGUUUGACGGUUGGAUCUUUGAAACUAGUUUCGUAGAAUGAGAAUCCCAUCAAAACAAUAGAUUCACUAAUACGUAAUAGUUUAUUCAUACUUUUAUUAAGUAUAAUAUAAGAUUUUGUGGUUUCCACUAGUGUAAAUAUUUUAAAUUGAAGAUCGAAUUCAAUCAUUGUAUUCAUAUAAGGUCAAGGAGUGUAGCUGAAAAAAAUCAUCAAAAUCAGAGUUAAAAUGACCGUUAAAUCGUGAUUUUUCUUUUUAUAACCGUCGAAAAGUUUUGUCCCGUUAAUUGAUCUCUGAAUGUUUGUUUUUUGUAAUUUUUGACAUAUGCGAUCUCGAAGUAUAUACAAACAUGUUUGACGGUUGGAUCUUUGAAACUAGUUUCGUAGAAUGAGUAUCCCAUCAAAACAAUAGAUUCACUAAUACUUAAUAGUUUAUUCAUACUUUUAUUAAGUAUAACAUAAGAUUUUGUGGUAUCCACUAGUGUAAAUAUUUUAAAUUGAAGAUCAAAUUCAAUCAUUGUAUUCAUAUAAGGUCAAGGAGUGUAGUUGUAAAAAAUCAUCAAAAUCGGAGUUAAAUUAACCAUUAAAUCGUGAUUUUUCGUUUAUAACCGUCGAAAGGUUUUGUCCCGUUAUUUGAUCUUUGAAUGUUUUUUUUUUUGCAAUUUUUGGCGUAUGCGAUCUCGAAAUAUAUACAAACAUGUUUGACGGUUGGAUCAUUGA